rnacentral:rRNA from 1 species
AGCGAACGCUGGCGGCAGGCUUAACACAUGCAAGUCGAGCGGGCACUCUCGGGUGUCAGCGGCGGACCGGUGAGUAACGCGGGGGAACUUGCCCUCUGGUUCGGAAUAUCUCAGGGUAACUUGAGCUAAUACCGGAUACGCUCUUUUGGGGUAAGGCUUGCUGCCGCAGGAUCGGAUCGCGACUGAUUAGCUUGUUGUUGAGGGAACAGCUCACCAAGGCGACGAUCAGUAUCGGGGAUGAGAGGAUGAUCAGAGACACUGGGGCGUAGACACGGCCCAGAAUCCUACGGGAAGGAGCAGUGGGGGAUAUUGGAAAAUGGGCGCAAGCCUGAUCCAGCCAUGCCGGGUGAGUGCUGAAGGCAUUAGGGUUGUAAAGCUCUAUUAUCCGGGACGAUAAUGACGGUACCGGAGGAAUAAGCCCCGGCUAACUUCGUG